UUCAAUUCAUAUUAAAGCAAUGCUUAAAUUAUUCUUUAUCUAUAUUUUAUACAUUUUCAGAAUAUAUAUAUUUUUUGACCAUUAUGCAAAGUUUUUGAAAUGUAUUCAUUCUCAGUUCCGAGAGAUUUACAAUCGCAGUGCUAGAAAAAAUAUGAACAGGGCACGCCCUAAUAAAAAUAUGCAUGGCAUUGCUAUCUUUACGAAACUGAAAAGAACUAUUGAGAUGUUGAGAUACUGUUAAAAACGUAUUCGGAAUAUGGACUGAAUUAUGGGCACAAUUAACAGGUCAUAUUCACUGGAGGACUGCACUGCAGGACUGCGGUCGCGUUUCAAUUUUCGCCGAAGGUGGACCAAUAAAAAGGCGCGUCUACCUAAAGGCAAACAAGAUCGUCCUGCCUCGUCUCCUGUGUCUCCGAGAACAAAAAAUGGCACAAUUUUUAGUGGAAAUGCGAGCGCGCAAUAAAAACUGCCCAGGACUCGGCGAGGCUGCGAGACAAGGACUCAACAACAACUAACUGCCGUAAUUAGGACGUUUGUAGAGCAGCGGCCAGUGGACGGUGGACUGAGGGCUGAGGACUGAGGACUGGCAGACAGACUGGAAAAACGUGAAAAAAUCAUAAAAAGAGAAACGAAAUCGUUUAAAAAUUGGCUCGCUUUUUGUCGAGUGCCGUUGGAAAACAACGAAAAAAGAAAGAAAAAAAUAAAGAGCAGAGCGAACCACGAGCCGCGUUACAAUUGAGACAAAUAAUUAGGGCCACAAAAAGAGCGACGCUGACUGUCUCAAUGAAACGCUGCAAAUAAUUCGAGUACUUCGGACUACGAGUACCUGAGACGCCGCAGGGUUAUCAACUGAU